rnacentral:rRNA from 1 species
CGAACGGCAGCACAGGAGAGCUUGCUCUCUGGGUGGCGAGUGGCGGACGGGUGAGGAAUACAUCGGAAUCUACUCUGUCGUGGGGGAUAACGUAGGGAAACUUACGCUAAUACCGCAUACGACCUACGGGUGAAAGUGGGGGACCGCAAGGCCUCACGCGAUUGAAUGAGCCGAUGUCGGAUUAGCUAGUUGGCGGGGUAAAGGCCCACCAAGGCGACGAUCCGUAGCUGGUCUGAGAGGAUGAUCAGCCACACUGGAACUGAGACACGGUCCAGACUCCUACGGGAGGCAGCAGUGGGGAAUAUUGGACAAUGGGCGCAAGCCUGAUCCAGCCAUACCGCGUGAGUGAAGAAGGCCCUCGGGUUGUAAAGCUCUUUUGUUGGGAAAGAAAUCCUGUCGGUUAAUACCUGGCAGGGAUGACGGUACCCAAAGAAUAAGCACCGGCUAACUUCGUGCCAGCAGCCGCGGUAAUACGAAGGGUGCAAGCGUUACUCGGAAUUACUGGGCGUAAAGCGUGCGUAGGUGGUUGUUUAAGUCUGUCGUGAAAGCCCUGGGCUCAACCUGGGAAUUGCGAUGGAUACUGGGCAACUAGAGUGUGGUAGAGGGUGGCGGAAUUCCCGGUGUAGCAGUGAAAUGCGUAGAGAUCGGGAGGAACACCCGUGGCGAAGGCGGCCACCUGGGCCAACACUGACACUGAGGCACGAAAGCGUGGGGAGCAAACAGGAUUAGAUACCCUGGUAGUCCACGCCCUAAACGAUGCGAACUGGAUGUUGGGUUCAACUUGGAACCCAGUAUCGAAGCUAACGCGUUAAGUUCGCCGCCUGGGGAGUACGGUCCGCAAGACUGAAACUCAAAGGAAUUGACGGGGG